AAGAGAAAGGGAAAGAGCGGCGAAACUUAAUUUUUUUUUUUUUUUUUUUUUUUUUUGAUGUGGAAUAAUAAAAACAAAAUGAUCUCCACCCCUUCCUUCUUUCUUCCACUUUUUCUAAUUAG
rnacentral:ribozyme from 13 species